AACGAACGCUGGCGGCAGGCUUAACACAUGCAAGUCGAACGCUCGUAGCAAUACGGGAGUGGCGGACGGGUGAGUAACGCGUGGGAACGUGCCCUGAGGUACGGAAUAACUGCGGGAAACUGCAGCUAAUACCGUAUGAGCCCCGUGAGGGGGAAAGGAUUUAUCGCUAAAGGAAUGGCCCGCGUCUGAUUAGGUAGUUGGUGAGGUAACGGCUCACCAAGCCGACGAUCAGUAGCUGGUCUGAGAGGAUGAUCAGCCACACUGGGACUGAGACACGGCCCAGACUCCUACGGGAGGCAGCAGUGGGGAAUAUUGGACAAUGGGCGAAAGCCUGAUCCAGCCAUGCCGCGUGAGUGAAGAAGGCCUCGGUUGUAAGACUCUUUACCUAGGAGUGAUAAUAGACAGUACCU
rnacentral:rRNA from 1 species